rnacentral:rRNA from 1 species
UACGUAGGGGGCUAGCGUUGUCCGGAAUCAUUGGGCGUAAAGCGCGUGUAGGCGGUCCGGUAAGUCCGCUGUGAAAGUCGGGGGCUCAACCCUCGGAUGCCGGUGGAUACUGUCGGGCUUGAGUACGGAAGAGGCGAGUGGAAUUCCUGGUGUAGCGGUGAAAUGCGCAGAUAUCAGGAGGAACACCAAUUGCGAAGGCAGCUCGCUGGGACGUUACUGACGCUGAGGCACGAAAGCGUGGGGAGCAAACAGG